UGGGGAAUAUUGCGCAAUGGGGGAAACCCUGACGCAGCGACGCCGCGUGUGGGAUGAAGGUCUUCGGAUUGUAAACCUCUUUCAGGGGGGACGAAGCCACCGGGGUUAAUAACCUACGGGGUGACGGUACCCCCAGAAGAAGCCCCGGCUAACUACGUGCCAGCAGCCGCGGUAAUACGUAGGGGGCAAGCGUUGUCCGGAAUCAUUGGGCGUAAAGCGCGUGUAGGUGGCUUGGUAAGUCCGGUGUGAAACCUUGGGGCUCAACCCCAAGCCUGCAUCGGAUACUGCCUCGCUCGAGUUCGGGAGGGGAGAGCGGAAUUCCUAGUGUAGCGGUGAAAUGCGCAGAUAUUAGGAAGAACACCGGUGGCGAAGGCGGCUCUCUGGAACGAUACUGACACUGAGACGCGAAAGCGUGGGUAGCGAACAGGAUUAGAUACCCUAGUAGUCCCUGAGCGGGCUGGCAAGGCGCAU
rnacentral:rRNA from 1 species